GAUGAACGCUGGCGGCGUGCCUAAUACAUGCAAGUCGAGCGAACGGACGAGAAGCUUGCUUUUCUGAUGUUAGCGGCGGACGGGUGAGUAACACGUGGAUAACCUACCUAUAAGACUGGGAUAACUUCGGGAAACCGGAGCUAAUACCGGAUAAUAUUUUGAACCGCAUGGUUCAAAAGUGAAAGACGGUCUUGCUGUCACUUAUAGAUGGAUCCGCGCUGCAUUAGCUAGUUGGUAAGGUAACGGCUUAACAAGGCAACGAUGCAUAGCCGACCUGAGAGGGUGAUCGGCCACGCUGGAACUGAGACACGGUCCAGACUCCUACGGGAGGCAGCAGUAGGGAAUCUUCCGCAAUGGGCGAAAGCCUGACGGAGCGACGCCGCGUGAGUGAUGAAGGUCUUCGGAGCGUAAAACUCUGUUAUUAGGGAAGAACAUAUUUGUAAGUAACUGUACACAUCUUGACGGUACCUAGUCAAAAAGCCACGGCUAACUACGUG
rnacentral:rRNA from 1 species